GAGCGGUUAUGGAAAGUGAGUAAGGCUUGCCGUUAUCACAUUUGUUCCCGUCUAACUUUAGUUUCAUUUCACAUUAGUUCUUCCCCUUUUCCACAAAACCUUGCUUAAAGUGAGGUUUCACCUAAUUCUUGACAAAAAUUUACAUUUCUGCUGCUUCUGAAUGUUUUGGAAGUUUAAAAGUAGAUUAAAAAGUUUUAGGCACCAAGUGUUGGAUGUGUACAAUAAUGAUAAGGCGAGGAAAAUUCUGGAAGAGGUUUUACUCUGGUGUCCAGACCUUUACUUUGCUAUAACAGACACUUGAACAUUUUUAGCUUUCUACCAGGGGGCUGAGCAAUGAAAGCUUAGCGGGGCUCUGGGAUCACUUUCAGAGAGAAGAAAGGGCUUCGGUUGAGUCCGACUGCAGGAGCACUGCCCGUUCCUGAGGUGUCGGCAUGAACAGAUCAAGUAACGUCCCUCCCUUAGAGAUGACUUUGGGCAACAUAGCUCUGGAAAGUUUACUCUUCUCGAGUCUAAUUCCCAGCUGAACUUGUAUGUGUACAUACAUUAUAUGUGCUCUGAAAUUUGGGGAGUCACGUUACAACUCAUUUCAUCACGCGCAGGAAGACAUCGGCAUUGAGGGAGCACCUCGAAACACAUUAGUUGCGUCAGCAGCCUUGGUCUUGAAGCCUGGGGAACGGAUCGUCUUUUGGGACACUCGGCAGUACAAUUUUUCAGUUCCCUGAUCUUGCUGUUGUCAAGGCUAGAUGGAUAAACGCACAGUCUGAAACAACUAGUCCCGAGGGGUGCGGCAAACCGGAUCCUAACCCGGCAACACAGGGCACAAGGCUGGAGGGGGAGGGGACGCACC